rnacentral:guide_RNA from 1 species
AUGAUAUACACAAAAAUCGAUCAAUGGUGAAUCACGACGAUAUAAAGAUAGAAA